GAUGACGCUAGCGACAGGCCUAACACAUGCAAGUCGAGGGGCAGCAUUUCCAGCUUGCUGGAAGAUGGCGACCGGCGCACGGGUGAGUAACGCGUAUGCAACCUGCCUUAUACUGGGGGAUAGCCCGGAGAAAUCCGGAUUAAUACCGCAUAACAAUUAGAAUUCGCAUGGGAUUUAAUUUAAAGCUACGGCGGUAUAAGAUGGGCAUGCGUAACAUUAGCUAGUUGGUGAGGUAACGGCUCACCAAGGCGAUGAUGUUUAGGGGGUCUGAGAGGAUAGUCCCCCACACUGGUACUGAGACACGGACCAGACUCCUACGGGAGGCAGCAGUGAGGAAUAUUGGUCAAUGGACGCAAGUCUGAACCAGCCAUGUCGCGUGCAGGAUGACUGCCCUAUGGGUUGUAAACUGCUUUUUUACGGGAAUAAACGCAAUUACGUGUAAUUGUCUGAAGGUACCGUAAGAAUAAGGAUCGGCUAACUCCGUGCCAGCAGCCGCGGUAAUACAAGCCGAAUUC
rnacentral:rRNA from 1 species